AGUUCUCAGGCGAGAGCCGCGGCUGACAGGGUCUGGGACAGAAGGAAAGCCCUCCAGCCUCCAGGCCCUGCCUUCUGCCUGCACAUUCUGCCCUGAUUUCCGGAACCUGGAAGCCUAGGCAGGCAGUGGGGAACUCUGACUCGCCUGUGCUCUGGAGCUUGAUCCGAAAGCUUCCACAGUGAGGACUGCUCCGUGGGGGUAAGAGAGCACCAGGCACUGAGGCCUGGGAGUUCCACAGACCAACACCCCUGCUCCUGGCGGCUCCCACCCGGGACUUAGACCCUCAGGUCCCUAAUAUCCCGGAGGUGCUCUCAAUCAGAAAGGUCCUGCUCCGCUUCGCAGUGGAAUGGAACGGAUUUAGAAGCCUGCAGUAGGGGAGUGGGGAGUGGAGAGAGGGAGCCCAGAGUUACAGACGGCGGCGAGAGGCCCCAAAGAGUCUGAUGUUUACAAGACCAGAAAUGCCACGGCCGCGUCCUGGCAGAGAAAAGGCUGAAAUGGAGGACCGGCGCCUUCCUUAUAAGUAUGCACAUUGGCGAGAGAAGUGCUGCAACCUAAACCAGCAAUUACACCCAAGCUCGUUGGGGCCUAAGCCAGUACCGACCUGGUAGAAAAAGCAACCACGAAGCUAGAGAGAGAGCCAGAGGAGGGAAGAGAGCGCCAGACGAAGGUGAAAGCGAACCACGCAGAGAAAUGCAGGCAAGGGAGCAAGGCGGCAGUUCCCGGAACAAACGUGGCAGAGGGCAAGACGGGCACUCACAGACAGAGGUUUAUGUAUUUUUAUUUUUUAAAAUCUGAUUUGGUGUUCCAUGAGGAAAAGGGAAAAUCUAGGGAACGGGAGUACAGAGAGAAUAAUCCGGGUCCUAGCUCGCCACAUGAACGCCCAGAGAACGCUGGAAAAACCUGAGCGGGUGCCGGGGCAGCACCCGGCUCGGGUCAGCCACUGCCCCACACCGGGCCCACCAAGCCCCGCCCCUCGCGGCCACCGGGGCUUCCUUGCUCUUCUUAUCAUCUCCAUCUUUAUGAUGAGGCUUGUUAACAAGACCAGAGAGCUGGCCAAGCACCUCUAUCUCAGCCGCGCCCGCUCAGCCGAGCAGCGGUCGGUGGGGGGACUGGGAGGCGCUAAUUAAUUGAUUCCUUUGGACUGUAAAAUAUGGCGGCGUCUACACGGAACCCAUGGACUCAUAAACAAUAUAUCUGUUGGGCGUGAGUGCACUGUCUCUCAAAUAAUUUUUCCAUAGGCAAAUGUCAGAGGGUUCUGGAUUUUUAGUUGCUAAGGAAAGAUCCAAAUGGGACCAAUUUUAGGAGGCCCAAACAGAGUCCGUUCAGUGUCAGAAAAUGCUUCCCCAAAGGGGUUGGGAGUGUGUUUUGUUGGAAAAAAGCUUGGGUUAUAGGAAAGCCUUUCCCUGCUACUUGUGUAGACCCAGCCCAAUUUAAGAAUUACAAGGAAGCGAAGGGGUUGUGUAGGCCGGAAGCCUCUCUGUCCCGGCUGGAUGCAGGGGACUUGAGCUGCUCCGGAAUUUGAGAGGAACAUAGAAGCAAAGGUCCAGCCUUUGCUUCGUGCUGAUUCCUAGACUUAAGAUUCAAAAACAAAUUUUUAAAAGUGAAACCAGCCCUAGCCUUUGGAAGCUCUUGAAGGUUCAGCACCCACCCAGGAAUCCACCUGCCUGUUACACGCCUCUCCAAGACACAGUGGCACCGCUUUUCUAACUGGCAGCACAGAGCAACUCUAUAAUAUGCUUAUAUUAGGUCUAGAAGAAUGCAUCUUGAGACACAUGGGUAACCUAAUUAUAUAAUGCUUGUUCCAUACAGGAGUGAUUAUGCAGUGGGACCCUGCUGCAAACGGGACUUUGCACUCUAAAUAUAGACCCCAGCUUGGGACAAAAGUUGCAGUAGAAAAAUAGACAUAGGAGAACACUUAAAUAAGUGAUGCAUGUAGACACAGAAGGGGUAUUUAAAAGACAGAAAUAAUAGAAGUACAGAAGAACAGAAAAAAAAUCAGCAGAUGGAGAUUACCAUUCCCAAUGCCUGAACUUCCUCCUGCUAUUAAGAUUGCUAGAGAAUUGUGUCUUAAACAGUUCAUGAACCCAGAAGAAUGCAAUUUCAAUGUAUUUAGUACACACACAGUAUGUAUAUAAACACAACUCACAGAAUAUAUUUUCCAUACAUUGGGUAGGUAUGCACUUUGUGUAUAUAUAAUAAUGUAUUUUCCAUGCAGUUUUAAAAUGUAGAUAUAUUAAUAUCUGGAUGCAUUUUCUGUGCACUGGUUUUAUAUGCCUUAUGGAGUAUAUACUCACAUGUAGCUAAAUAGACUCAGGACUGCACAUUCCUUGUGUAGGUUGUGUGUGUGUGGUGGUUUUAUGCAUAAAUAAAGUUUUACAUGUGGUGAA
rnacentral:lncRNA from 1 species